rnacentral:tRNA from 1 species
GGGGUCGUAGCGAAGCCAGGCAUCGCAACGGGCUCCAGAUCAAAUAAUGGGCAAUUAUUGAAGAAACCCGUGGAUCAGGGGUUCAAAUAAUAUAAGUAUAUAUUAGAACAAUUCCCUUCGGCCCCA